rnacentral:rRNA from 1 species
AACGAACGCUGGCGGCAUGCCUAACACAUGCAAGUCGAACGAGACCUUCGGGUCUAGUGGCGCACGGGUGCGUAACGCGUGGGAACCUGCCCUUAGGUUCGGAAUAACUCCCCGAAAGGGGUGCUAAUACCGGAUAAUGUCUUCGGACCAAAGAUUUAUCGCCUUUGGAUGGGCCCGCGUUGGAUUAGCUGGUUGGUAGGGUAAAAGCCUACCAAGGCGACGAUCCAUAGCUGGUCUGAGAGGAUGAUCAGCCACACUGGGACUGAGACACGGCCCAGACUCCUACGGGAGGCAGCAGUGGGGAAUAUUGGAAAAUGGGCGAAAGCCUGAUCCAGCAAUGCCGCGUGAGUGAUGAAGGCCUUAGGGUUGUAAAGCUCUUUUACCCGGGAUGAUAAUGACAGUACCGGGAGAAUAAGCACCGGCUAACUCCGUG